rnacentral:lncRNA from 1 species
AGAUCCUUAACCCACUGAGCGAGGCCAGAGAUCGAACCUGCAACAUGGUGGUUUCUAGUCGGAUUCGUUUCCGCUGUGCCAUGACAAGAACUCCGUAGCUCCUCUAGUUCUUUUUUUGUUUGUUUGUUUGUUUGUUUUUGUCUUUUUGCUAUUUCUUUGGGCCGCUCCCGCGGCACAUGGAGGUUCCCAGGCUAGGGGUCGAAUUGGAGCCAUAGCCACUGGCCUACGCCAGAGCCACAGCAACUCGGGAUCCGAGCAGCAUCUGCAACCUACACCACAGCUCACAGCAACGCCGGAUCGUUAACCCACUGAGCAAGGGCAGGGACCGAACGCGCAACCUCAUGGUUUCUAGUCGGAUUCGUUAACCACUGCGCCACGACAGGAACUCCUAGUUCUAUUGGGUAUAGGAGAUGUUCCAGGAUGGCCUAGACCUGGUAAUAAGCACCUUAGGGCAACCGAAUUAACCCAGGGGGCUCUGGGGAUGCUACUGAGAGGGAUCAAAAUUAAAGUCUGGUUAAAAGUUGGAAUAUAUGGAGUUCUAUUGGGUAUAGGAGAUGUUCCAGGAUGGCCUAGACCUGGUAAUAAGCACCUUAGGGCAACCGAAUUAACCCAGGGGGCUCUGGGGAUGCUACUGAGAGGGAUCAAAAUUAAAGUCUGGUUAAAAGUUGGAAUAUAUGGAGUUCCCAUUGUGGCUCAGUGGAAACAAAUCUGACUAGGAUCCAUGAGGUUUCGGGUUUGACCCCUGGCCUCACUCAGUGGGUUAAGGAUCCAAUGUUGCUGUGAGCUGUGGUGGUUGAAGACGUGGCUCAGAUCUGGCAUUGCUGUGCCUGUGGCGUAGGCCAGAGACUACAGCUCCGAUUUGACCCCUAGCCUGGGAACCUCCAUAUGCUGUGGGUGUGGCCCUAAAAAGACAGAAAAAAAAAUUGGAAUAUGGUGAUUUUUAUUUUAUUAUUAUUAUUAUUAUUAGAGCUGCAUAUGGAGCUCUAAUAAAACCCUCCUACCC